rnacentral:rRNA from 1 species
GUAGGACGCACAGUUUAUACCGUAGCUUGCUACACCAUAGACUGUGAGUUGCGAACGGGUGAGUAACGCGUAGGUAACCUGCCUAUUAGAGGGGGAUAACUAUUGGAAACGAUAGCUAAUACCGCAUAACAGUAUGUAACACAUGUUAGAUGCUUGAAAGAUGCAAUUGCAUCGCUAGUAGAUGGACCUGCGUUGUAUUAGCUAGUAGGUAGGGUAAAGGCCUACCUAGGCAACGAUACAUAGCCGACCUGAGAGGGUGAUCGGCCACACUGGGACUGAGACACGGCCCAGACUCCUACGGGAGGCAGCAGUAGGGAAUCUUCGGCAAUGGGGGGAACCCUGACCGAGCAACGCCGCGUGAGUGAAGAAGGUUUUCGGAUCGUAAAGCUCUGUUGUUAAGGAAGAACGAGUGUGAGAAUGGAAAGUUCAUGCUGUGACGGUACUUAACCAGAAAGGGACGGCUAACUACGUGCCAGCAGCCGCGGUAAUACGUAGUCCCGAGCGUUGUCCGGAUUUAUUGGGC